rnacentral:rRNA from 1 species
GACGAACCGUGCGAACGUUGUUCGGAAUCACUGGGCUUAAAGGGCGCGUAGGCGGCAGAUCAAGUCCGGGGUGAAAUCCUCCAGCUCAACUGGAGAAGUGCCUUGGAUACUGAUGUGCUCGAGGGAGGUAGGGGUCCGCGGAACUUCUGGUGGACGCGGUGAAAUGCGUUGAUAUCAGAAGGAACGCCGGUGGCGAAAGCGGCGGACUGGAUCUCUUCUGACGCUGAGGCGCGAAAGGCUAGGGGAGCAAACGGG